rnacentral:rRNA from 1 species
UACGUAGGGUGCGAGCGUUAAUCGGAAUUACUGGGCGUAAAGCGUGCGCAGGCGGUUGGUUAAGUCUGAUGUGAAAGCCCCGGGCUCAACCUGGGAAUGGCAUUGGAAACUGGCUGGCUAGAGUGUGGCAGAGGGGGGUGGAAUUCCGCGUGUAGCAGUGAAAUGCGUAGAGAUGCGGAGGAACACCGAUGGCGAAGGCAGCCCCCUGGGCCUGCACUGACGCUCAUGCACGAAAGCGUGGGGAGCAAACAGG